rnacentral:rRNA from 1 species
AGUGAACGCUGGCGGUAGGCCUAACACAUGCAAGUCGAACGGCAGCACAGUAAGAGCUUGCUCUUACGGGUGGCGAGUGGCGGACGGGUGAGGAAUACAUCGGAAUCUACUUUUUCGUGGGGGAUAACGUAGGGAAACUUACGCUAAUACCGCAUACGACCUACGGGUGAAAGCAGGGGAUCUUCGGACCUUGCGCGAUUGAAUGAGCCGAUGUCGGAUUAGCUAGUUGGCGGGGUAAAGGCCCACCCAGGCGACGAUCCGUAGCUGGUCUGAGAGGAUGAUCAUCCACACUGGAACUGAGACACGGUCCAGACUCCUACGGGAGGCAGCAGUGGGGAAUAUUGGACAAUGGGCGCAAGCCUGAUCCAGCCAUACCGCGUGGGUGAAGAAGGCCUUCGGGUUGUAAAGCCCUUUGUUGGGAAAGAAAAGCAGCAGGUUAAUACCCCGCUGUUCUGACGGUACCCAAAGAAUAAGCACCGGCUAACUUCGUG